UUAGCCCUUUAGGGCUGUUGAGAGAAACCUGUCACCACCCCCCCUUCCCCGGUGCACCUGCUGCUGCGCCGAGCCUGCGCCCGGGGAUCGCCCGCGAGGGAGUCCAGCCUGGCGGGCUGGGCUGCCAUCUGCUAGGUGCCUAGGCACGGGGGUCCGUCCAGCCGCUCUGGGCCGCGGCUCGCCAUGUCCGUCUCACGAGCCAUUUUUAUUAUAGCAGCCGGAAAGCCGCCAGCGAAGUGCGGGUCCCGUUGUGCUCGGGGCUUUACCAACACGCCGGGUCCCGCGGAUCCCCCUUCCCCGCAUUGUGCUUCGCGCGCGUGAAUAGCUCCCUUGCAAUCAGCUGGGCAGGACUGCCUACAGCCUGAGAGUUAAGGACAUGCUGUGUAAGGUUGGAGGUCCCUGCAACGGGCCCCGCAAUCUAAGGCUCUGAUCCUGCAAACAUGGAUCAGGAGAGCCAAAAGCAUGUGAAGGAUUUUCUUCACUUUGCUGAAGCAAAUGACAAUUGGCACAGAGCUGGACACAUCUGACACCUUUUACCGAUCUGCUGGUUGUCCUAGAUGUGGAGGGCAGUAGCAGCCAACCUGCUCUUUAGAACUGGUUGGAAAAUGGUUUUUACUCCGCAGAAGAUUUUGAUGAGAACUUUAAAAAGUCAUUUUCAUCAACAACAAAAUUGCAAACCAAAAUUUUUCAGCUGAAAACCAAACAUUUCUAUUCAGAAAUUCUGCCUUGGUGCCUCCUGGGAGUUAUAGUUUGCAUGCGUCAUGUCCCCAUUCCUAUGAGCUAGAAGGCUCUCUAGCUGGACUACAUCUUCUAUGAUGCACCAUGGUUUCCUCUUUUGGUGAAUUAUUGCGAUGCACCAUGGGAAUCCCUGGCUAUGGUGUGUUAUGGGAAAUGUAGUCUGGCUGGGGAUAUCAGCCCAAAGAGGAGAAUGAGGGCAUAAGUCACCCAAAUUACAAUUCCCAACAGACCUUGUGGCAGCAUUUUGAAAUAAUUUUUUGGUUUGCAGCUAAAGACUGAAAAGUUUUCAGAUGUUUUAUUUUUUAAUAUGGUUUGAUGGGAUGUGCAUACCCCACACUGGGCAGGGAAGGGUUAAUCCCACAUUAUGGACAGAGGAAGUUCUGUCCCUCAGACCAUACUGAGCAUGCUCCAGAUGCUGCACUAGUAUAAAGGAGAGCAGCCCAGCUCGGUCUGGGCAGAACACCAAGGAGGAAGGAUGCUUGAUGGAGGCUCCAGCCCAGGAGCCGUUAGAGCCCUUGCCUGCGGGAGCCAGAGAUCCCGAGACCUGGACUGGAGAUCUGUUGCCAUCGGAGUCCCAGGGAGUUACCUGUGCCGAGGAGCCCAGAGACCCUGAUUCCUUAUGGACUGCAGCUUCAGGAAGCCCGGGGUGUCUGCUGGUGACUCUCUUCUGAUGUUUUGCGAACAGCUUCAGCCCAUGUUUGCCAACGAGACUUCUGUGGGUUGUGGUUCAGCCAUAUGACCCUUGGA